UACGUAGGGUGCGAGCGUUGUCCGGAAUUAUUGGGCGUAAAGAGCUCGUAGGCGGUGUGUCGCGUCGGCCGUGAAAACCUGGGGGCUCAACUCUGGGCGUGCGGUCGAUACGGGCAUCACUUGAGUUCGGCAGGGGAGACUGGAAUUCCUGGUGUAGCGGUGAAAUGCGCAGAUAUCAGGAGGAAGACCAGUGGCGAAGGCGGGGUCUCUGGACAGUUCCUGACACUGAGGCACGAAGGCCAGGGGAGCAAACGGG
rnacentral:rRNA from 1 species